rnacentral:rRNA from 1 species
CUCUUUCUCGAUUUAGUGGAUGGUGGUGCAUGGCCGUUCUUAGUUGGUGGAGUGAUCUGUCUGGUUAAUUCCGAUAACGAGCGAGACUCUCCCCUGCUAACUAGUCGGUUGGAUCUUGAUUCGCGAGUAAUGCGCCCCGCUGGUGCUUCUCUUCGCUGGCGCUGCGUGUGUCGUUGUGAGAUGGGGCUCUGUGCCCUUUCUUUGCUGCGCGCGCGCGGUGUCGCGGACGAGGGCCCUCGGUAAGCGCACACUCCAAGUCCGCCGCUGAUGCUGUAAGUCUUCUUAGAGGGAUCCACGGCUCUGAAGCCGUCAGAGACUGAGAGCAAUAACAGGUCUGUGAUGCCCUUAGAUGCUCUGGGCCGCACGCGCGCUACAAUGCCGGGCACAGCAGGUGUUUAACCUUCUCCGAGAGGAGCGGGCAACCCUCUGAAAGCCCUUCCCAUUCUCUUGCGUCCGCAGUUCCCUCGUGGUUCGGCGGCGCAUGUGGCGUGCUUGGGCCUGGAGCUUGCAAUUUUUCUCCACAAACGAGGAAUGCCUAGUAGCGGUGGGUCACUGAGCCCACCGUGACUCAGUCCCUGCCCUUUGUACACACCGCCCGUCGCUACUACCGAUUGGGUGUACCAGUGAGAGCCUUGGACUGGCGGCCGUUGCCCAUCUGGGCAGUCGGUUUCGACUGAAAGAGGUCCGAACUGGUGCACUUAGAGGAAGUAAAAGUCGUAACAAGGUUUCCGUAGGUGAACCUGCGGAAGGGAUCA